rnacentral:rRNA from 1 species
CCGACCUGAGAGGGUGAUCGGCCACACUGGGACUGAGACACGGCCCAGACUCCUACGGGAGGCAGCAGUAGGGAAUCUUCCGCAAUGGACGAAAGUCUGACGGAGCAACGCCGCGUGAGUGAUGAAGGUUUUCGGAUCGUAAAACUCUGUUGUUAGGGAAGAACAAGUACCGUUCGAAUAGGGCGGCACCUUGACGGUACCUAACCAGAAAGCCACGGCUAACUACGUGCCAGCAGCCGCGGUAAUACGUAGGUGGCAAGCGUUGUCCGGAAUUAUUGGGCGUAAAGCGCGCGCAGGCGGUUUCUUAAGUCUGAUGUGAAAGCCCCCGGCUCAACCGGGGAGGGUCAUUGGAAACUGGGGAACUUGAGUGCAGAAGAGGAGAGUGGAAUUCCACGUGUAGCGGUGAAAUGCGUAGAGAUGUGGAGGAACACCAGUGGCGAAGGCGA